AUGCCACCACCUUGAAAAUAAUAGUAUAAUGAUUGGGAGUUUUUACAUUUAAAAGUUUUAUUUUUUCCAUACUAACGUUCCACUAAAUAAGAAAGAAAAAAGCCGCCUUCUGUUAUUAUUAUUAUUAUCAGUCAUGCGAAGAGUAGUCUGUAAGUAUAUCUCUCUCAAACAUAAGAUUUUGCUUUUAAAAAAUUAUUGAAUUAUAAAUAUAUAAGGGAUUCAGGGUUUCAUAGCUAUCCUUAGCUCAGAUCGUGAUUGACAGGUUCAACGCAUGAAACAGGUUGGUAAGUGUGAGAGCAGUUAAGAGAAAAUGAAUACGAAGGAGGCGCACGAUUUCGUAUAAUUUCCUCUAGUUUUGAAAGUCUUUGUUUUGUAGUCGAUGAGUCAUUCUCCAAUCUUUUCCGCAAUGUCUGACAUAUUUGUUGAAAUGAGUGAUGCUGAUUCUCCAAAUCGGCGAAGGUCUUCUGUAAUCUAGAAAUACGAUUCUUCACUUCAUUUGGUUUAAAAAUUUUUUUUGGUUUAAUAGGACUACUAUUAUUAAUGUUUAACAUUGUUCUGUGAUUUGAAUUAUCCGGUGAGUGAACGUCCAACAAUGGAGACUGCUGUGAAAGUGAUUGAGAAUUUCGUUUAAACCUGUCACUUUCAGAAUCAUUUUUUGGUUUUAUUUUAUUCAUUUCUUUGGUUUCAGUUUCCAUACGCCGUUUCAUCGUUUCCAUCGAAUCCUUAAGUUUUGUAUUGCUACUAUAAAGAGACUUGCAUCUUAAAGAUGACUCUUCAAAUUUAGAUUUGUAAACAUUGCAUUUUUUUUUUAAAUGCGCCAUUUCUUCCUCUAGCUUCCGAGACUUUUCAUAAAGGUAGCCGUUUUCAACUUUUAAAGCACCAUUUUCUUUUUCAAGCAGUUGAGUUUUUUCCCUCAAAGUUUCUGAAGCCAAUUUUUCAUUGUUUAAAUCCCGUUCCUGCUCUCCUAUCUUACUUUCCAAACUUUCGAUUUGUAGCGUACGUUGAGUAGAAUCGCGCUCAAAAGCAUCAAUUAUUUCUUUAGCAGUCAUUUGUAGCUUCUGAAAUUGAAUUGUUUUAUCUGAGACAUUCUUUUCAUAAUCAUCAAAAUACUGAAAACUCUUCUGCUUAAUAGACUUCAUCUCGCUAACACUUUGAACAGGCGAUGAAGCUAUGAAAGUCGAAUCUUCAGCCGAGGCGAGAGAAGCCUCUUCUUGAUAUUCCAUAUUAAAUCAAUCUGUUAAUCUCUUAACCUUGUAUUGUUUCAAAUCUUUUCGCUACGAAUUAGUGUCACUAACAUACGAAAUGUUGUUGGUAAAUGGAACGCGUCGCAGGCUCAUCAAACAACAUUGUAUUUACGAGUGAAGAAACAUUUGAGAUAUACGUAAACACCACCAAAAAUUGCACAACUAUCUAUUUAGUCCCUAAUAAUAGUUGAAUAAAGAUUCGU